UCUGAACUGACAAUCUACGUCUAUAUUUACAUACUACCAUACUAAAACGAUAUUAUCAGAAAGAGUUUAGGGAGGAAAGUAACUCAGACCGUGAGAAGUCCUCGGGGAGCUGUGAUAGAGGUGUCAGUCAGUACAACGAGGCAGCGUGGGAGCACUGGGCCAGUCGGACGAAGAUGACGUGCUGGGGCAGGAGUAAGGUUCAUCUCAGGGGUUUCAGCUCGCGUUUUGCUUUCUCCGAUUUAAGACAAAUGUUAGCUGACAUAUUGGAUGGCUGCCAAGAUCCUCACCUUGCCUUCAAAACUCAACCAUACCACAAACUUCUUCUAGAAGACAAGACAACGUACCAAUAUCUGAAUGGCUGACCUGUCUGGUAUCAGCACCUUUGAAGCACUAGAAUUUAUAGUGCCACAGCCUACACAGCCACAUCCAAAUCCCAAGAACUAGAACCUGCAAGGAUUGAAUGACCGACCUUGAGUAAUCCUUGUUUUGCUGCUGUUGUAUCUGAUGUGCAUCCUCACCCAAGUGUUGAGAGGAGGAAGAGGAGGAAGCUCAGCAUCAAGGAGCUGGACUGGGCAGCCUACCUAAAGGACUACAUAAGGUCCUCCAGAGCCUCUUUCACGAGACAUGGCCUGCCCCGCUAGUCACAAACUGCCUGACAUCUGCUGCUGCGUGGCCUCCAUCCUCAGCUGCAAGGUCACCACAACUUUUGGCACUGUCUUUAGAACUCUUCCCCCAAGUAGACAUCCAGUGUUGAUGGAGUGCUAAACCAGCAACAUACAGCCAAGGUCAUAGGCAUCUCAGUGAAUAACGUCUUCAUGUUCCAUUAGUGACUUCUCCAUCUCAUCCACCUGCCCGGGAGUCAAAUUGGCAGCACUUCUCAUCACGUGCAUAGGUAAUGCAGGACUUGCCCCACUCGUCCCUCCAUCCGCUUGCUCCAGCAGGCUCCAAUCUGCUAUGCUCCUGGCUGUGGCCACCUUGCACUUACUGGCUUUGUCUGCUCCACACCAGCUGUUGUUCACCACUGCCUUGCAUUUUGAAGCUGCUACAAUGACAUUUGCACCUUCGACUUCCUUCACGCUUCAUCAGUGUAGCUCCAGUCCCUCAUCCUCAACAUCUGAACCACCCACAGGGCUCUCAACCUAUUCAGCAGCAUCUUCAAGAAACAGCAUAUGGUUUCACCUUCAUCUUCAUUCUUCUGAGGUCUACACCAGUCCAGCCCCAACAGGCAAGGUUCUUCCAUGUCAUCCACAAUACCUGGUAGCUCUUCCUUGACACCACCCACCACGAUCUCUGAUAUCACAGGGAAACAUAGCAUCAUAUGAUGGCCAGUUACACCACCAUUUUCAAUGCUACUUCACCUCUGUUCUGCCUCAUCUCACUGGUUUCCCAUUUCAUUUUCUGUACCAUUUCACACCUUUCUUGUUUCCAUUCAUGUAUAUUCUGUGUCAACUCAAGUCAUGUUCCCCAUUAUUUUCCAUCCCUGCUCUCUACUUCUUAAGUCUGAAUCAGCCAUGGUGCCACUAGCCAAAACUUCAGUCUUUAUCCCACUCCUAACACUACUGUUACAGUGUGUGCUUUUUAAUCCUGAUCUGCUGACACUAACUGUUACAACUGCCCUUUUGUCCUUGCAGCCUCCACCACAGCCACUGACCAAGAACUCUACCAUUUACCACAGUGGCUGACCGAGAGGCACAGGACGAAGGUGAUAACUCACCUGGAAUCAUAGACAUGGCCUCAUUGGCUGCACAAAGAUGAUGCAGCACAUUUAUAAGUACCUUUCACUUACCAGUUACACUAGACAAUGACUCAGACAGACAUAAAGAGGCAGGGCACAAGUUCUUAGUUUACUGGUACAAAGAAAACUUACAAAGUACAGAUCGUGGCUACAUAACAUAUAGUGCAAUGAUUCUCAAACUGGCAGGAAUUUAGGUCGGCCAUGUGGGCUGUUGGACAGUAUACAUUUCUAAAUAAUGUUAGGAAUCUGAAUUGAAAAAAAAAUGCAUCAUUGUCCUGGCAAAGAAAAUUUUCUUUUUUAAUUAAGUUGACAUUAUAUUCUUUUACAUAUUGUUAUGAAUGUGCAUACAUACGUAUGUAUGUAUGUAUGUGUGCAUAAUUGUAAUUGUUUGUGCAGUGUAGAUAUGAUAAAAAGCGCUGAGGAGAAUAAACGUGUAUGAGGCGAGUGAGAGAAGGGUGAGUCACCAGGACACAGGAGAGAGAUGAUCCACAAUAUGAUAUCACUGUAAGAAUAUAGGUAUAAUUGACUCUGAACCAUACAAUGUGUUAUAUAUUUUGAUCAACAAUUAUAAAUGUGGUUGCUGUUUAUUGUGUGUGAAAUAUUUUUACUGCUCAUUUAUCAGUUUAUUACUUUUUGGUAUCCUUGUUUUUCAUGGUCAUUCCCUACAUAGGUAUUCCUGCUUUUUUUUUUUUUCUAGUGCUAAUAUGGAUGUGACUCACUAUUCUUGUUAUUAUUUCAACUGGGAUAGUGUUUGUCAAAAGAGGCGUGUUCUUGCUGUUAGAAAAUACAUUUCAGCUUGCUUGCUUGUGUGUGAAUGUUUAAAACUUUAUCAUAUUUACUCUCUCUCUUUGUGUAUAUUUAUGUAUGACUGUGUUUGUGCAUAAAAUGUGAUUCCAUGGAUCUGUUAUGUAUGCUGAUAUUUAUGUGUUUGUCAUUUUAUCACUUGUCCUAGUGUUCUGUCCAUUAUCAUUCUUUUGUCUUCAUACUGACAUACUCAAUGUUCUUCUGCUGUCCUGUCUUCUUUAUUUUCAAUACAUUUGCAAUGGUUACUAGUAUUACUAACAAGCAGAAGUACAGUGAAGAGUACAUUAACUACGGAUUUACAUCACUCCUCACUGAUGGCAUCAAGAAACCUCAGUGUGUACUGUGCUUUAAAGUGCUGGGGAAUGAUUCAAUGAGGCCUAGUAAGUUGAAGCACCAUUUGCAGACCAUCCAUGCACAUUAUGCUGAGAAAGACACCAAUUUUUUCAGGCGCCACAAAAGUAGUUUGGGAAAACAGAAACUGGAUGAGACCAGUGCUUUCCAACAACAGACCUCAAGUGUAGUUGAGGCAUCAUACGAGGUUGCCCUUGACAUAGUAAAGAAAAGAAGCUCCACACAAUUGGUGAAACCUUAAUCAAGCUUUGUACUUUAAAGAUGGUCAAGUGUGUUCUUGGAGAUGCAAGUGAACGUGAAAUUUCCUUGUCAAACGACACAGUGAAGUGGAGACUUAAUGAAAUGUCAGAUGACAUAAAGGCAAAAGUGAUACAUGAGAUCAAAUCAUCUCAAACUGGUAUGUUUGCAAUACAGCUGGAUGAGUCAACGGAUGUUCGUUAGAUAUGUUUUCUUGUGUGGUAUCAAGGAAGAAUAUCUGUUAUGUAAACAGCUUGAGACCACCUCAACAGCUGAAGGUGUGAUGGAAAAGCUAUAUUCUUUCUUCAAGGCUAACAGGAUCCCCUGAGAAAAUUGUUGUGGAGUCUGUACAGACGGGGCUCCAGCAAUGCUGGGAUAAAAAUUUGGUUUUCAGAAGUGUGUCAAGGAAGUAGCUCUGAAUGCCAAGGGGGUUUAUUGUAUGAUCCAUUGUCUUGCACCCUCCCUGAUGAAGCUCGAGCUCUAAACUCUCACCUUUUCUAGAAACUUUGUACUGUAUUACACACCAGCAGUAAACUGAAGGAGUUGUGCCAAGUGUUUCAUGUAUCCUGCCUCUCUGAGUAAGUCUGCCUGAGUCUGGUGAGUAGGGGUGGGCACUUAACGACUCCGGAGUCGACUCCGCUGACUCCAAGUCCAAGGGCCUGGAGUCGACUCCACGCCUUAACGACUCCAGUCACAACAGCAUGUAAAAGUGUAUACUGCUUGAGCCUUGAGGUGACAAUAUCACUUUUAUUUUGACAAAACUGACGAGAAUGUAUAUAACUUUG